UACGUAGGGGGCAAGCGUUGUCCGGAUUUAUUGGGCGUAAAGAGCGUGUAGGCGGCCUGAAAGGUCAGCUGUGAAAACCCGAGGCUCAACCUCGGGACGUCGGCGGAAACCAUCUGGCUAGAGUCCGGAAGAGGAGAGUGGAAUUCCCGGUGUAGCGGUGAAAUGCGCAGAUAUCGGGAAGAACACCCGUGGCGAAGGCGGCUCUCUGGGACGGUACUGACGCUGAGACGCGAAAGCGUGGGGAGCGAACAGG
rnacentral:rRNA from 1 species